rnacentral:rRNA from 1 species
AUUGAACGCUGGCGGAAUGCUUUACACAUGCAAGUCGAACGGCAGCGAAGGGUGCUUGCACCCUGUCGGCGAGUGGCGAACGGGUGAGUAAUGCAUCGGAACGUAUCCUAUAGAGGGGGAUAACCUAGCGAAAGUUAGGCUAAUACCGCAUGAUCUCUGAGGAGGAAAGCUUGGGACCUGAGAGGGCCAGGCGCUGUAGGAGCGGCCGAUGUCCGAUUAGCUUGGUGGUGGGGUAAAGGCCUACCAAGGCUGUGAUCGGUAGCUGGUCUGAGAGGACGGUCAGGACCACUGGGACUGGGACACGGCACAGACUCCUACGGGAGGCAGCAGUGGGGAAUUUUGGACAAUGGGGGCAACCCUGAUCCAGCCAUUCCGCGUGCGCGAAGAAGGCCUUCGGGUUGUAAAGCGCUUUCGGUUGGAAGAAAGCCACUGGUUAAAUAGGCCAGUGGGAUGACGGUACUGACAAAAGAAGCACCGGCUAACUACGUGCCAGCAGCCGCGGUAA